rnacentral:misc_RNA from 2 species
CAACCCUCAAGCACUGCUUGGUAUUGGGCUCUGCUGGUUUCAGCAGGCCUUAAAAUCAGUGGCAGCGCCGCCUGAGCUCUGAGCGUAGUAAAUACCCUCGCUAUAGAGACCGGGCAGCUCUCGCUAUCAACCCCCAACUUUCUAA